UACGGGGGGGGCAAGCGUUGUUCGGAAUUACUGGGCGUAAAGGGCUCGUAGGCGGCCAACUAAGUCAGACGUGAAAUCCCCUCGGCUUAACCGGGGAACUGCGUCUGAUACUGGAUGGCUAGAGGUUGGGAGAGGGAUGCGGAAUUCCAGGUGUAGCGGUGAAAUGCGUAGAUAUCUGGAGGAACACCGGUGGCGAAGGCGGCAUCCUGGACCAAUUCUGACGCUGAGGAGCGAAAGCCAGGGGAGCAAACGGG
rnacentral:rRNA from 1 species